UCACCUUCCCUUCCCUUCACAGAGCUGCCACCUCAGCCCACUAUCCCCACCAUGGGCAUCAUUGUUGGCCUGGUUCUCCUUGGAGCUGUGGUCACUGGAGCUGUGGUGGCUGGAGCUGUGAUCUGGAGGAAGAAGCGCUCAGGGGAAGAAAGAGGGAGUUAUGCUCAGGCUGAAAGCGGUGACAGUGCCCAGGGCUCUGAUGUGUCUUUCACAGGUGC